rnacentral:rRNA from 1 species
UACGUAGGGUGCAAGCGUUGUCCGGAAUUAUUGGGCGUAAAGAGCUCGUAGGCGGUUUGUCGCGUCUGCUGUGAAAACUCGGGGCUUAACCCCGGGCCUGCAGUGGGUACGGGCAGACUAGAGUGCGGUAGGGGAGACUGGAAUUCCUGGUGUAGCGGUGAAAUGCGCAGAUAUCAGGAGGAACACCGGUGGCGAAGGCGGGUCUCUGGGCCGAUACUGACGCUGAGGAGCGAAAGCGUGGGGAGCAAACAGG